CGACGUGAGUAACCUGCCUUGGGGUGGGGAAUAACACAGUGAAAACUGUGCUAAUACCGCAUAAUGCAUUUGGGUCGCAUGAUUCUGAAUGCCAAAGAUUUAUCGCUCUGAGAUGGACUCGCGUCUGAUUAGCUAGUUGGCGGGGUAACGGCCCACCAAGGCGACGAUCAGUAGCCGGACUGAGAGGUUGGCCGGCCACAUUGGGACUGAGACACGGCCCAG
rnacentral:rRNA from 1 species